CCGAUCGACUGCAUGACACCGUCUCAACUUCUCGAAUCAUUUCACCAUCUCUAAUCCUUUUGGAGAGAAUUGAUUGAAACCCGAUUAUUUUCAUCACACAGUCCAGUCCCUUUUAUGUUCUACAAUUUUGGAGACCCAGUCGUACUGAAGAACAACUAAAUCUUCAACUCGAAGAGAAAGGGGAAACCUAAUUUGCCGUUGAUUGUUUUCUUACACGGCGGAUUCAAUUGUGGGUUUUAGAAAUCUACUUAUCUAUCUUAGUUAAUUGGUGAAUAUGUGAAGGAGAUCUAUAAAAACAGACGGACAAAGACACAGACAUCAUAAACGGCAGAUUAUAUGUGCAGUUGUGAAGAAUAGUAAUCAAACGGGAGGACAAAGGGAGAGACAGUACUGCAAAUGUAUCUUCGUGGAACCCUACAGCUUAGAUUGGAGAUGACAUUGUCCAACAUAUUUG